UACGUAGGGGGCGAGCGUUGUCCGGAUUUAUUGGGCGUAAAGAGCUCGUAGGCGGCUGGGCAAGUCGGGUGUGAAAACUCCAGGCUCAACUUGGAGACGCCACUUGAUACUGCCCUGGCUUGAGUCCGGUAGGGGAGCGCGGAAUUCCUGGUGUAGCGGUGAAAUGCGCAGAGAUCAGGAGGAACACCGGUGGCGAAGGCGGCGCUCUGGGCCGGCACUGACGCUGAGGAGCGAAAGCGUGGGGAGCGAACAGGAUUAGAUACCCCCGUAGUCC
rnacentral:rRNA from 1 species